AGUGAACGCUGGCGGUAUGCCUAACACAUGCAAGUCGAACGGCAGCACAGUAAGAUCUUUCUCUUACGGGUGGCGGGGGGCGGACGGGUGAGGAAUACAUCGGAUUCUUCUUUUUCUUGGGUGAUAACGUGGGGAAACUUACGCUAAUACCUCAUACGUCCUACGGGUGUAAUCAGUAGAUCUUGGCGCCUUUCGCGAUUGAAUUAGCCGAUGUCGGAUUGGCUAGUUGGUUGGGUAAAGGCCCACCAAGGCAACGAUCCGUAGCUGGCCUGAGAGGAUGAUCAGCCACACUGGAACUGAGCCACGGUCCAGACUCCUACGGGAGGCAGCAGUGGGGAAUCUUCGACAAUGGGCGAAAGCCUGAUGCAGCAACACCGCGUGAGUGAUGAAGGCCUUCGGAUUGUAAAGCUCUUUUGUUAGGAAAGAAAAGCAGCAGAUUAAUACACCGAUGUUCUGACGGUACCUAAAGAAUAGGCAACGGCUAACUUCGUG
rnacentral:rRNA from 1 species